rnacentral:rRNA from 1 species
GUGUCAGCCGCCGCGGUAAGACGAGCCUCACAAACGUUAUUCGGAAUUACUGGGCUUAAAGGGUGCGUAGGCGGCGCGGAAAGUUGGGUGUGAAAUCCCUCGGCUCAACCGAGGAAUUGCGCUCAAAACUACCGUGCUCGAGGGAGAUAGAGGAAUGCGGAACUUACGGUGGAGCGGUGAAAUGCGUUGAUAUCGUAGGGAACACCGGUGGCGAAAGCGGCAUUCUGGAUCUCUUCUGACGCUGAUGCACGAAAGCUAGGGUAGCAAACGGGAUUAGAAACCCUCGUAGUCC